CAAGUAUAUGCAAUUGAGGUAUAGUGGGGUUCAGACUUUAUGGCGUGGUAGCAAAACAUAGUUUAUCUUACUACAAUUGAAUGUUACAAUAUUGUUAACUAAUGGACAUGGGGUAGAAACACCCAUGCACCUAUUAACCUAGAGCACAUUGAGUAGAAACAUCAAGUGCCCCUACCCUGUUCAAACCAUUCAUUUUAUUUAAGAAGUUGGAAUGAGUGAGACCUUCCUUACAGCCCCAAUAUCUAGUUGCUCAUGAUUGUCCGUAACUGGGGACACGGCUAAGUACUUAGUUUGAUACUCUCAAGAGGUUGUACACAUUCCCCACAAGAAAUCGACGUGUUAAUCCCUUGCUGUCCUCUGGGUGGAGUAGCAACGGCAUCGACUUCAAGAAUUUUCAGAACAUGUUCACCCAAACCACCUGAGGGACCCGCGCUCCCACGUACACAACUACCUCAGUACAAUCCCUCGGAUCUGGGUAAACAUUUCUUACUCCAUCCAGGCAGAGCCCAUAUUAUCAUGUGGGUGUACUGGAAGCUACUAAACAGGAAACUAGUCCAGCCUCUGAUACCCAGGUGGCAUUCCACAUUUGCGAUGAAGAUGACCCUGACAGCGGUGAUGGCGCGGCGCGGGUCGGCAGCGGAGAUCGUGGGAGCUUUCCCCACGAGGAAGAUGACUCUGACAGGUGGGGCCCACCUGUCGGUGGCUCACGCGGCGCGCGCAACCUGGGCCGGCUCGGGCGGGACGGGGCCGGUUCGGCCCAUGUUGGCUAGGCCGGUCCGAUUUUCUCUUUUUUUUUUCUUUUAGCCCUUUUCUUUUUCUGUUUUUCUUAUUUCUUUGAUAUCUUUUGAUUUUGAACUCCAAAUUGGUCCAAAUAAAUUUCAGAAAAUUUGUAAAAUCAUGUUUUAUCAUGAUUCAACUUUUGGGAGUCAUUUUCCUUCAAAAUAAAAUACACAAAAAUACAUUUGCCCUAUAAAUGCCUUUAGAGCUAUAUAACUAUUUAAAUAAACUAGUUUUUCAACUCCAAAUAAUUAUCCAAAAAUUAUGGGAUAGCUUAUUUAUGCAAUAAACCCCUUUUAUAAAUAAACCUAUUGGUUUGAAAAUCCAAAUAUUAAAUGGGUGUAAAACCCUAGGGUUUAAAUUGAAAUAAAAAUCUUUCAAAGCCUUUUGAGAUUCAAAUUUGAAUUAAAAAAUGCAAUUGUGGCAUGAUGCUCAUGGAUGCAAAGCAUAUGUAAAAGUUUGAAAUUUUGGGAUGUUACAUCAGGAGAUACAAGAGUCCCAUAACAACUCCACAGUCGAAACAUGUUGGAAUGUAAACUCGUAACCCUAACAAAUCGUACCUCACUCUUCACCUGUAAAACCUGCAACAUUUAAACGUUGCAGCCACUAGGGAGUCAAUACAUUGAAUGUAUUGGCAAGUUCACUAAAGGGUUAUAACAGACCUAACAAGUAUAUGCAAUAUUUGGCAAGGUAGGGGUUUGGCUAUUUGCAUAAAAGCCUCAAGGUUUCAUCCUAUCAUUUUUAACAAAUAGUUUUAUCACUAUUGGAAACGGGGUAGAAACACCCAUGCUCCUAUUAACCAAGAGCACAUUGAGUAGAUACAUCAAGUGCUCCUACCCUGUUCAA
rnacentral:lncRNA from 1 species